GACGAACGCUGGCGGCGUGCCUAAUACAUGCAAGUAGAACGCUGAAGGAGGAGCUUGCUUCUCUGGAUGAGUUGCGAACGGGUGAGUAACGCGUAGGUAACCUGCCUGGUAGCGGGGGAUAACUAUUGGAAACGAUAGCUAAUACCGCAUAAGAGUAGAUGUUGCAUGACAUUUGCUUAAAAGGUGCAAUUGCAUCACUACCAGAUGGACCUGCGUUGUAUUAGCUAGUUGGUGGGGUAACGGCUUACCAAGGCGACGAUACAUAGCCGACCUGAGAGGGGGAUCGGCCACACUGGGACUGAGACACGGCCCAGACUCCUACGGGAGGCAGCAGUAGGGAAUCUUCGGCAAUGGACGGAAGUCUGACCGAGCAACGCCGCGGGAGUGAAGAAGGUUUUCGGAUCGUAAAGCUCUGUUGUAAGAGAAGAACGAGUGUGAGAGUGGAAAGUUCACACUGUGACGGUAUCUUACCAGAAAGGGACGGCUAACUACGUG
rnacentral:rRNA from 1 species